rnacentral:lncRNA from 1 species
GAAAUAUCGGAGUUUGAGCGAGGCCUGAUAGUGGGCACGCUGUAAAAAAUUAUUCAUGAGGUUAGUAAAUAUAACCGUGAUUACAGUAAGCUUACUGUACAUUUUUUUCUUCCAUUGUUUUUUUUUUAAGAUUUGAAGAAUGCAACAAUCACAGGAAAUUUGACUGUAAAGAAAGGAGAGACACUGAAUCUGAACUGCAGCGCUGAAAGUAAUUCACAUCCAUUAAACAUCUCCUGGAGUUUUAGAGGGGCUUCAGGUUCACUUCAGAAUAAAACUACUGACGACACACUCACCAUAACCAGUGUUAGCAGCGAACAUGCAGGGGAAUAUGUGUGCACCGUUCAGAAGUUCAAUCUGACUCUGAAUACCUCUGUAAAAGUCACUGUGAUAGAUCAACCCAUGAUCCUCAAUAAUUCAACACGUUUUCAGCUGGAGAAGUGCUCUUGUCUUUGUAAAGAUGUUGAAGGACGCCUAAAUGGAUCUGUUGUAAACAGCACCAUUAGAAUAAAUGGCAUGACGUGUGAAUGCGAGAACGAUGCUGGCAAUAAAACAUCAGGAAAAGGAGAGACUGAGAACUUACUGAGCGUAAGAUCAAUCCUCACAUUUCUGGUGGGAGCAGCAAGCACAGCAGUCAUCUUCUGCAUUGCGCUGUGCUUUGUUGGCAUGUGCAUAAGGUGUGGAACUGUCAAAGCAGUGGAUGGAAAUGCAAACAAAGCAGAUGUUAAACUGGAUGCUGUUAAAAUUCAACACAAUUCUGCUGGCACAGACCAAGCAGAAGAAGAUGAACACACUCCACUGCGAGGACGCCCUGCUGCAGCGGCCACACACACAGCUGCAGUGAGAGGUGAAGUCAAGGUGGAGGAAACACCAGGAAAAGACAGGCCUUCAGGAGAGGAGAAGGCAGCAGGAGAGAAAGAGCAGAACGAAGUGGACUACGCCUGUAUCGACUACUCACUUCUACAGGACAGAGGAGCUGAGGCCCAGAAGGAGCAAAGCGAGGAGACAGAGUACGCAGAGAUCCAGAUUAAGAAACAGGCUGAGGAAGAGGGAGCUGAGGACCUGCAGGGUGAAGAGGUCCAGGGUGAAGCCCAGGGGUUAGAGAAUCAAGAGCAGGUGGAGGGAGAGGAGGAGAUACAGGUGUAAUGCUUUGAAAUAAAGAGUUACUUUUAUGUUAAACUCCCGUACUG